AAACAUCCACAUCCCGAAAAUCGAAUCUUCCAUAUCACAAAGCGCGCAUUAAAUGGGUGUCGCAUCGAAGGUCACCACGUUUUUUUUUAUUUCCUCUAAGACGGUGAAGAUGUCUGUUUUUUCCCAUACUUUAAUCGAAACAAAACAAGGGAAACACGCUUCCACACGCAUUAAACUAAGAUUACAAGGUUCUCAUCCUGUCUCUCUACGCUACACACCGUCGCUCCUCC
rnacentral:lncRNA from 1 species